UCUCUCGUUCCCCACAAAUAUGGUCAUGGGGUUUUUUGAAUUCUACGUGUUCUACUGAUAAUAUUUAUUCGAUUUGUGGUCAUUUUUGAAAAAAUCCCCAUAAGUCCGUAAAAUUGACUCGCAGUAAUUUUCUCACUGCACCGUAAAACGAAUGUUUGAGGAUGCUGGGAAAUGUUCAUUCGGAACGCAGCGGAAUUUAAACUGGUCCCCAUAUGAUACCAAUUUAUUGCGGGCAAUGGCUGCUCCGAGAAUAUGUGGUUUUCGGGUUUUCACCACAAGAGCAAAUUAUACAACUUUAUUCUUGAAAAUGUUAGAGACUGAGACUUGGAGUCAAAGUCAACAAACACGCAUGCAUGGACAUGAAGGAUGUAAAGAACUAGAGUAUUAUAACUGAAAGCAUUUUGUCUGGAUUUGUGUAUGGAAACAGAAGGAUUUAGUAUUGGUAUCCUGAAUUUGUCAACUUCUAGCCAAGAUCCUGUAGGUAAGCUGAAUGUGGAGGACAGAUGUACACACAGUACUAGUAUAGAGGGUAUUAUCUCGGUACCUUAAAACUCCAAACAGCGAGAAGAAGAAAACUGCAUAUUUCCGAUGUAUCUUCACAGCAACAUGACCCAAAGCACUACCAUUAAAGGAUUUGAUUUGACAUUAAGGAAGUAAAAAAAUGAAGGCAUUAGUCAUAAAGAAAAUUAAAGAACUUUAUGUCUGAAUAUUAUAUCAACAAUACCAUAAAUCUAAAGAUGGAUUAUUUUGCCUUAUAAUUUAUAUUAAUGCAUGUACAUGUAAUUUUAUUCUUUUUAUAUAUACAAUCAUGUAGUGUUACCAUUUUUCACAAAGCUUAAAGUUAUGUAGGGCCACACCAAUUUAAUUUCUUGUUCGUCGGACAUUUGAUUU